rfam:Felis catus isolate Cinnamon breed Abyssinian chromosome B1, whole genome shotgun sequence.
ACCUGACUGGCUCAGCUGAUAGAGCAUGUGAUUCUUGAUCCUGGGGUCAUGAGUUCAAGCCCCAUGUUGGGCA